rnacentral:pre_miRNA from 1 species
AGCCUUCUGUAUCCGUGCUGAGAUUUCGUCACACACCAGACCACAAGGGCUGAUGAGACUUNCUUCAAUGUUCCAUUCA